rnacentral:rRNA from 1 species
ACGGGAGGCAGCAGUGAGGAAUAUUGGUCAAUGGGCGAGAGCCUGAACCAGCCAAGUAGCGUGAAGGAUGACUGCCCUACGGGUUGUAAACUUCUUUUAUACGGGAAUAAAAAAGGCCACGCGUGGCCUCUUGCAUGUACCGUAUGAAUAAGCAUCGGCUAAUUCCGUGCCAGCAGCCGCGGUAAUACGGAAGAUGCGAGCGUUAUCCGGAUUUAUUGGGUUUAAAGGGAGCGUAGGCCGUGCUUUAAGCGUGUUGUGAAAUGUAGGCGCCCAACGUCUGCACUGCAGCGCGAACUGGAGCACUUGAGUACGCAGGAAGUAGGCGGAAUUCGUCGUGUAGCGGUGAAAUGCUUAGAUAUGACGAAGAACUCCGAUUGGGAAGCCAGCUUACUGUAGCGCCACUGACGCUGAUGCUCGAAAGCGUGGGUAUCGAACAGGAUUAGAUACCCUGGUA